rnacentral:rRNA from 1 species
GAUGAACGCUAAGCGGGAGGCUUAACACAUGCAAGUCGAGGGGCAGCAUAGGGUAGCAAUACUCUGAUGGCGACCGGCAAACGGGUGAGUAACGCGUACGCAACCUACCCUGUACAGGGGGAUAACCCGGAGAAAUUCGGACUAAUAUCCCGUAAUAAUAUCCGGAGGCAUCUUUGGAUAUUUAAAGUUUCGACGGUACGGGAUGGGCAUGCGUAACAGUUAGCUGGUUGGUAAGGUAACGGCUUACCAAGGCUAUGAUGUUUAGGGGUCCUGAGAGGGUGGUCCCCCACACUGGUACUGAGACACGGACCAGACUCCUACGGGAGGCAGCAGUGAGGAAUAUUGGUCAAUGGGCGCAAGCCUGAACCAGCCAUCCCGCGUGCAGGAAGACGGCCCUAUGGGUUGUAAACUGCUUUUCCAGGGAGAGAAACUUACGCACGUGUUGCGUGACUGACGGUACCCUGGGAAUAAGCAUCGGCUAACUCCGUG